GGAAGACGUCGAGCCUUCAUCCAACCACCACCAGGAGGGGGGAGGAAGACGUCGAACCUUCAUCCAACGACCACCAGGAGGGAGGAAGACGUCGAGCGUUCAUCCAACCACCACCAGGAGGGAGGAAGACGUCGAGCCUUCAUCCAACCACCACCAGGAGGAGGGAGGAAGACGUCGAGCCUUCAUCCAACCACCACCAGGAGGGAGGAAGACGUCGAGCCUUCAUCCAACCACCACCAGGAGGGGGGAGGAAGACCUCGAGCCUUCAUCCAACCACCACCAGGAGGAGGGAGGAAGACCUCGAGCCUUCAUCCAACGACCACCAGGAGGAGGGAGGAAGACGUCGAGCCUUCAUCCAAUGACCACCAGGAGGGGGGAGGAAGACGUCAAGCCUUCAUCCAACCACCACCAGGAGGGGGGAGGAAGACCUCGAGCCUUCAUCCAACGACCACCAGGAGGGGGGAGGAAGACCUCGAGCCUUCAUCCAACCACCACCAGGAGGAGGGAGGAAGACGUCGAGCCUUCAUCCAACCACCACCAGGAGGGGGGAGGAAGACGUCGAGCCUUCAUCCAAUGACCACCAGGAGGAGGAAGACGUCGAGCCUUCAUCCAACCACCACCAGGAGGGGGGAGGAAGACCUCGAGCCUUCAUCCAACCACCACCAGGAGGAGGGGGGAAGACCUCGAGCCUUCAUCCAACCACCACCAGGAGG
ensembl:lncRNA